rnacentral:rRNA from 1 species
GUAAGCAGAACUGGCGCUGUGGGAUGAACCGAACGUUGAGUUACGGCGCCUGAUUAUAGACGCUCAUCAGAUACCACAAAAGGUGUUGGUUGCUAUAGACAGCAGGACGGUGGCCAUGGAAGUCGGAAUCCGCUAAGGAGUGUGUAACAACUCACCUGCCGAAGCAACUAGCCCUGAAAAUGGAUGGCGCUAGAGCGUUUAGCCUAUACUCAACCGUUGUGGCACACGCUGCGGUAAGCAAUUAUCGUAUUUGGCGCUUUUAUGGCACAUGCGUGCUAGUCAUGCCUCAACGAGUAGGAGGGUCGCGGCGGUAUGCUUUGAAGGCUUAGCGGCGUGAGCCGGGCUGGACCUGCCGUCGGUGCACAUCUAGGUGGUAGUAGCAAAUACUCAAGCGAGAACCUUGAGGACUGAAGUGGAGAAGGCUUCCAUGUGAACAGCAGUUGAACAUGGGUCAGUCGAUCUUAAAGCAUCGGCGAGGGCCGUUCAGAAACGGUGUCGGUUAUGUGGCAGUAUGCUGUUUCGGCAGUAUGCUGUCCGGCUAUAGGCGCUUGCUCGUUUAUAGUCGCCGCACCUGCUGAAAGGGAAUUGGAUUAAUAUUUCCAAACCUAACAGCGGAGAUUGGUUGCUCAUUAGGCUGCACGGGCCUUGCGCUCGUGUCAGUCGGGGCAACGCGCUGCGGUAACGCAAACGAACUCGGAUACGCUGACUGGAGUCCCGGGAAGAGUUGUCUUUUCUUCAUAAAGAGUCGACUCCAUGGAAUUGGUUCAGCCAGAGAUAUGGAGAUGGCGUCUGAAAAGCAUCGCGCUUCUUGCGAUGUCCGGUGCGCUCCAAGCGGCCCUUGAAAAUCCGAGGGAGAGAAUGAUUUUCGUGUUAGAUCGUACCCAUAUCCGCAGCAGGUCUCC